rnacentral:rRNA from 1 species
GAUGAACGCUAGCGGCGUGCUUAACACAUGCAAGUCGAACGAAGCACUUUAUUUGAUUUCCUUCGGGACUGAUUAUUUUGUGACUGAGUGGCGGACGGGUGAGUAACGCGUGGGUAACCUGCCUUGUACAGGGGGAUAACAGUUGGAAACGGCUGCUAAUACCGCAUAAGCGCACAGCAUCGCAUGAUGCAGUGUGAAAAACUCCGGUGGUAUAAGAUGGACCCGCGUUGGAUUAGCUAGUUGGUGAGGUAACGGCCCACCAAGGCGACGAUCCAUAGCCGACCUGAGAGGGUGACCGGCCACAUUGGGACUGAGACACGGCCCAAACUCCUACGGGAGGCAGCAGUGGGGAAUAUUGCACAAUGGGCGAAAGCCUGAUGCAGCGACGCCGCGUGAGCGAAGAAGUAUUUCGGUAUGUAAAGCUCUAUCAGCAGGGAAGAUAA